GAUCCUCAUACAGUUUUCAAGAAUGUAGGGCUGAAGAUGGCAACAAACUUGUUGAUCCGAGUGCCUUCAUGUGUCAAGUUCAAAGGAAGAGAAUAUCAUUCUCAACGAAACUAUGUAAUGUUAGAGAGACACAGUUUUCUAACUACUGGCAGUGCACCAGGUCCUGUUGGGGGUGUCGGACAUUAUCCUGCUCCUCCUCCACCUGUAGUUACAGUCCGCAGUUUCUUCCCUGAGACCUGGAUAUGGGACCUGAUAGAAGUUGGGUGAGCUUAUAAAUAGUUUUU